rnacentral:rRNA from 1 species
UACAGAGGGUGCAAGCGUUGUUCGGAAUUAUUGGGCGUAAAGGGCUCGUAGGUGGCCAACUAAGUCAGACGUGAAAUCCCUCGGCUUAACCGGGGAACUGCGUCUGAUACUGGAUGGCUUGAGUUUGGGAGAGGGACGCGGAAUUCCCGGUGUAGUGGUGAAAUGCGUAGAUAUCGGGAGGAACACCAGUGGCGAAGGCGGCUUUCUGGCCUGCUCUUGACGCUGAGGCGCGAAAGCUAGGGUAGCAAACGGG